UACGGGGGGGGCAAGCGUUGUUCGGAAUUACUGGGCGUAAAGGGCCAGUAGGCGGCCAACUAAGUCCGACGUGAAAUCCCCAGGCUUAACCUGGGAACUGCGUCGGAUACUGGAGGGCUUGAGUGUGGGAGAGGGAUGCGGAAUUCCAGGUGUAGCGGUGAAAUGCGUAGAUAUCUGGAGGAACACCGGUGGCGAAGGCGGCAUCCUGGACCAUGACUGACGCUGAGGAGCGAAAGCCAGGGGAGCAAACGGG
rnacentral:rRNA from 1 species